UAAGGUUCUACGUGCCAGCAUCUAUUUACACAUAGUGUCUGUGUUUGAAGUAAGCAGAUUCAGCACUGAGGACCACAUGAAAGCUUUGUCUAAAGACAGACUGAAGCGUUGGGCUCCUGAACACAUCAGCAG